rnacentral:rRNA from 1 species
GAAGGUGGCAAGCGUUGUUCGGAAUCACUGGGCUUAAAGCGCGCGUAGGCGGAAUAGCAAGUGUCUUGUGAAAUCCCUCGGCUUAACCGAGGAAUUGCUUGGCAAACUGCUAUUCUUGAGGCAAGUAGGGGUACAUGGAACUCUUGGUGGAGCGGUGGAAUGCGUAGAUAUCAAGAGGAACGCCAAUGGUGAAGACAGUGUACUGGGCUUGUACUGACGCUGAGGUGCGAAAGCGUGGGGGGAGCGAACGGGAUUAGAUACCCCGGUAGUCCACGCCGUAAACGAUGUCUACUAGGUUGUGGGUGUUCUGACACAGUCACAGUCGCAGCAAAAGUAUUAAGUAGACCGCCUGGGGAGUACGGUCGCAAGGCUA